rnacentral:rRNA from 1 species
UACGUAGGGUGCGAGCGUUGUCCGGAAUUAUUGGGCGUAAAGAGCUUGUAGGUGGCUCGUCGCGUCGGGAGUGAAAACCCGCGGCUUAACCGCGGGCCUGCUUUCGAUACGGGCGGGCUAGAGUUCGGCAGGGGAGACUGGAAUUCCUGGUGUAGCGGUGGAAUGCGCAGAUAUCAGGAGGAACACCGGUGGCGAAGGCGGGUCUCUGGGCCGAUACUGACACUGAGGAGCGAAAGCGUGGGGAGCGAACAGG